UGGCUCAGUAGACAGCAGCGUGGCAGUUGUACAGGUUCUCUCACAGAUGCGCCGAAAACUCCCAUCCUUGGGCGACCAGAAAUGGAUCAGUUACUCAAGGGAGGUGCAAGCAGUCAGCAAAAAAUGAUCCGAUUCUGUCCCAAGGCCAAGGGCGGAAGGGGUUAGUUAAGUUAUCUUCGAGAAAUGAAAGCUUUAUUGCCAGCCAGCGAAAAUAUUCAGGAAUAAAAACUCCCGCGUACACACGAAUAUUUGGUUACAUCAACCUUGAAGCAGAUAAUUUUUAGAACGCUAUCAACUCAUUCUUUUAUCCAAAUAGAUCCCCCAUGUCAUAAUGCCCCU
rnacentral:sRNA from 1 species